rnacentral:rRNA from 1 species
CCCUUAGAUGUUCUGGGCUGCACGCGCGCUACGCUGACGCACGCAACAGGUGCCUGCUCCGAGAGGACUGGGUAAUCAUUUGAGUGUGCGUCGUGAUGGGGAUAGAAUAUUGUAAUUAUUACUCUUCAACGAGGAAUUCCUAGUAAGCGCCAGUCAGCAGCUUGCGCUGAUUACGUCCCUGCCCUUUGUACACACCGCCCGUCGCUCCUACCGAUGGGUGAUCCGGUGAAUGAUUCGGACUUCAGCGGCUCCCCUGGGGUGCGCCGGAGAAAGUUUUGUGAACCUUAUCACUUGGAGGAAGGAGAAGUCGUAACA